rnacentral:ribozyme from 1 species
UGCCCAGCAACUCCUAUCCCUAUACCUCCUCGUGGUACUGGCCGAGGUACGAGUAACCUUGGGGAAGAUCGGGUAACUAACCUCCGGUGGGAACUUUGGUCGUAUGCUGACAGGGAAGG